UACGGGGGGGGCAAGCGUUGUUCGGAAUUACUGGGCGUAAAGGGCUCGUAGGUGGCCAACUAAGUCAGACGUGAAAUCCCUCAGCUUAACUGGGGAACUGCGUCUGAUACUGGAUGGCUUGAGUUUGGGAGAGGGAUGCGGAAUUCCAGGUGUAGCGGUGAAAUGCGUAGAUAUCUGGAGGAACACCGGUGGCGAAGGCGGCAUCCUGGACCGGCAUUGACGCUGAGGCGCGAAAGCUAGGGGAGCAAACGGGG
rnacentral:rRNA from 1 species